rnacentral:rRNA from 1 species
AUAUCGCGAGGUGUCAGCAGCCGCGGUAAUACGUAGGGUGCAAGCGUUAAUCGGAAUUACUGGGCGUAAAGCGUGCGCAGGCGGUUAUAUAAGACAGAUGUGAAAUCCCCGGGCUCAACCUGGGAACUGCAUUUGUGACUGUAUAGCUAGAGUACGGUAGAGGGGAUGGAAUUCCGCGUGUAGCAGUGAAAUGCGUAGAUA